rnacentral:rRNA from 1 species
UACGUAGGGGGCUAGCGUUAUCCGGAAUUACUGGGCGUAAAGGAUGCGUAGGUGGUUUCUUAAGUCAGAGGUGAAAGGCUACGGCUCAACCGUAGUAAGCCUUUGAAACUGGGAAACUUGAGUGCAGGAGAGGAGAGUGGAAUUCCUAGUGUAGCGGUGAAAUGCGUAGAUAUUAGGAGGAACACCAGUUGCGAAGGCGGCUCUCUGGACUGUAACUGACACUGAGGCACGAAAGCGUGGGGAGCAAACAGG